AAGGAAGACAACUGUCAUCUAUGUGCCAGGAGAAAGAGAAGCCAAGAGGAGUGUGUGUUGGUGAAUGCCCAGGGAAGAGUCACUGGUGGGUUGAAGGACAGUCUGUGAUCUGGGUAACUGACAGAAGGAAUCACACUCUUCAAAACUGAAAGAAAUGAGGUCCACUAAAAGCGGUUCAGAUGGAAAGAGCAAUUCCACCAUGGAUCCCACAAAAACAGAGAGCAGGUUAGAGACGGUGUGCCGCUGGAAUCUGUACGUUCCCGUUCUCAGGAAAGACGGUGGGUAGGCUCACUUGCCAUUCUGUUACAGCUUUGCAGUUGUUUGUCAAGUGAGCACAUGUAGAAGACUUAUUUAACUCAUGAGUGGGGAAACCAUCAGGGUGUUUAUCUGGCUCUAAAAAGAGCAAGAGAGGUGAACGUGUCUAUCAUCCCCGGAAGAGAGAAUGCUGGAUCCCAUACAAAGCUGGUUAGUGCCCGAGACUGGUUAGGGUCCUAGGUAAUACAACGCUCAUCCUUGGGAUGAAGUCUUUACCACAGAGCACAGACUUCAUUUUCUUUUCUAUAGGGAUAGAAUCACUUGUGACACAGAUUGACAACUAUCCUUACAGGUUUGUAAAAUUCCCUCAUUAAUAGAAAACAGGUGGUUAAAAUUGCACGCUUCCAGAGAUUCAGAGAAUCCUUGAAUAGUUCUGUUAGUUGAUGUGUUAGAUGAGGCAUCCUUUCAUUUUCAAGGUUCACAUUUUUUCUCAGCAGUCCCUCCUUGUGUGCAUAAAUUAUCUCCAGGAUUUAUUCUUGGUCAGAAAAAUUUCAUCUUGUGUUUUGGC
rnacentral:lncRNA from 1 species